CAUACUGCUUUAAUGAUAUGCUAUGUGGUUCGUAACGACAGCGUAGCUAACAAAUUGUCAGCCAACAUAACGUGUAAGGUAACUUAUUUGAAAAGUCAUUACUGUAUUACAUUGAGUAGCAAGCUAUCUCUUGGUCGUUAGGGCAAAUCUGGUCUGUGAUAGGUGGAUUUCACACCUAGCUCGGCUAUUAGACUAUUCUUUAGUAAAAGGUUUAAUAGUCCAUUGUUCAGCUAUUAGCUCCCCUCCCCAACUUGCAACAAACUGUUGUUACUCCCAUCUCGUUCCUCACCCUCUUCCACAUGUCAUUCUGUGGGCGUGCUGGCAGGAUAUGGAAGCACCUUCGGUUGUGCGUCAAGAAUUCUGCAGAGCAAGUUUGUAUGACUGUCUGGUUAUUCACAGGCAAAUUGUUAUGUGCUAUGGAGCUACAUGUGUCUUUUUGUCGAGAGCAAAACCUUUGACAAUAACUGUUCUGAAAGCAACUUUUUCCAAUUCAAAGGAAGUCAUAGCGGACCUCUACAAAGGACUGUGAGAUGAUGGCAUCUCAGGUAACCAACACUGGGCAGUCCUCCAUCCAACUUUCACAUAUCUCCUAUGAUUCAGUGUCGAGUGCGAGCUGAUCAAGGGGUCGAAAAUGUAGAUAUUGCCAGAUGUUCACUGUCCGAGGAACAGGCCGUGGAAGCUUUAUUGCUGCCAAAAGUGUCCGUAACCAGAGGUAGUUAAACUGUUUUGUGUUCUUUUUCUCUUCCUCUCUGCCUGUCUUGUUGUACAUGGAACCUGUCUCACAUGCAUUCAUAUUUUUUUUUUUUAAAGAUGCUGCUAAAUUACAGAUUUACACCACAUAAACACUCAGACAUUUUUCAUUGGACUGUCUGUUGCUGCCAAGUCAUGAUUUCCCUGGGGGUUAGCCUUGCAAUAACCAAGUGGUGAGACAUAGCCCUCUAUAUUUAAACGUUUCAGGUUUACUCCGAUAGAGGUUAUGGAAUGCAUGUGAUGCAGACACCUCAGAGCCACACACAACUUGCAUUUCUAUAACCUCGGACCCACCUCAGCAUUCACUAUUCAUGUAGGAAGACCACAGGACCACGGAGAUUUGAGUGGAACACUAAUGGAGAGAUGUUUGGAGUGCUGUGACAUGUCAGUACUACAACUUACUGCAGUUUGGAGGAAGGAUACCUUGACCUGUCGAAUUCUAUCCACCUGUUCUGUGUGGGAUAUGUGUUCCUACCUUUUCAGAGAGUUGGAAUAAUCACCCUUUAAGGUUAUAUCAGCUGUGUUGGUAAACCCAUCCCGCAUCUGAACUGGCUGACACAGAGGGCACAACACAAUCAUAGGUGGGAGGUCACUUGGUCGGGUCAACAAGGAAGUAUUAUUAAAGAGAUGCUUUACAUUGAAAUACAGAGAUGUAGUAGUCCCGGAGUUAAUGAUCCAAGGUAUGUUUUGAUAUGAGAGAGGAAGCCAGUCACGUCAUUGCCACCUCACCCACUCUUAACUUGUUAUGGCUGCAAUCCCCCUAUCGGGAUAAGUGUCAUCAACAACCGCUGAAUAGCAUAGCGCUACAUACAGUAAAU